rnacentral:rRNA from 1 species
CGAAAGCCUGACGGAGCAACGCCGCGUGAGGGAGGAAGGCCUGUUUGGUUGUAAACCUCUUUUCUCAGGGAAGAAGAUCUGACGGUACCUGACGAAUCAGCAUCGGCUAACUCCGUGCCAGCAGCCGCGGUAAGACGGAGGAUGCAAGCGUUAUCCGGAAUUAUUGGGCGUAAAGCGUCCGCAGGCGGCUCAGCAAGUCUGCUGUCAAAGAGCGGGGCUCAACUCCGUAGGGGCAGUGGAAACUGCUGGGCUAGAGUAUGGUAGGGGCAGAGGGAAUUCCCAGUGUAGCGGUGAAAUGCGUAGAUAUCGGGAAGAACACCGGUGGCGAAAGCGCUCUGCUGGGCCAUAACUGACGCUCAUGGACGAAAGCUAGGGGAGCA